rnacentral:rRNA from 1 species
UGGGGAAUAUUGGACAAUGGGCGAAAGCCUGAUCCAGCAAUACCGCGUGUGUGAAGAAGGCCUUCGGGUUGUAAAGCACUUUAAGUUGGGAAGAAAAAACUUUACCUAAUACGUGAAGUCUUGACGGUACCGACAGAAUAAGCACCGGCUAACUCUGUGCCAGCAGCCGCAGUAAUACAGAGGGUGCUAGCGUUAAUCCGAUUUACUGGGCGUAAAGCGUGCGUAGGUGGUUUGAUAAGUCGGUUGUGAAAGCCCCGGGCUCAACCUGGGAAUUGCGGCCGAUACUGUCAGACUCGAAAACGGUAGAGGGAGGUGGAACUCCAGGUGUAGCGGUGAAAUGCGUAGAUAUCUGGAAGAACAUCGAUGGCGAAGGCAGCCUCCUGGGCCUGUUUUGACACUGAGGCACGAAAGCGUGGGUAGCAAACA